CAGCCGCCGCGGUAAUACGAAGGGUGCAAGCGUUAAUCGGAAUUACUGGGCGUAAAGCGUGCGUAGGCGGUGAGUUAAGUCUGCUGUGAAAUCCCCGGGCUCAACCUGGGAAUGGCAGUGGAUACUGGCUCGCUAGAGUGUGUCAGAGGAUGGUGGAAUUCCCGGUGUAGCGGUGAAAUGCGUAGAGAUCGGGAGGAACACCAGUGGCGAAGGCGGCCAUCUGGGACAACACUGACGCUGAGGCACGAAAGCGUGGGGAGCAAACAGGAUUAGAUACCCCCGUAGUCCCUGUCUCUUAUAC
rnacentral:rRNA from 1 species